rnacentral:rRNA from 1 species
GAUGAACGCUGGCGGUAUGCUUAACACAUGCAAGUCGAACGGAGUGCUUCGGCACUUAGUGGCGGGCGGGUGAGUAACGCGUGAGAAUCUGGCUUCGGGUUCGGGACAACAGUGGGAAACUGCUGCUAAUACCGGAUGUGCCUAAGGGUAAAAGAUUAAUUGCCCGAAGAUGAGCUCGCGUCCGAUUAGCUAGUUGGUGUGGUAAGAGCGCACCAAGGCGUCGAUCGGUAGCUGGUCUGAGAGGACGAUCAGCCACACUGGGACUGAGACACGGCCCAGACUCCUACGGGAGGCAGCAGUGGGGAAUUUUCCGCAACGGGCGAAAGCCUGUCGGAGCAAUACCGCGUGAGGGAGGAAGGCUCUUGGGUUGUAAACCUCUUUUCUCAGGGAAGAAAAAAAUGACGGUACCUGAGGAAUCAGCAUCGGCUAACUCCGUGCCAGCCGCCGCCGUAAAAC